GAUUUCCGUUUCCGACAAUAACAAAAGCAAUCGAUAUCUCAUAUUUCAGAAUAUUAUAAAUAUUUUCAAGGCAUCCACGAUAUUCUCACAAUAUUCUCACGGUUUCGGCUUGCUUGUGUGUGAUGUCGGUCUCGCGUAAUCACGGGAGCACGUUAACCUAUUUACGUCAGUAGAAAUCAAUCACGCACGUUAUGCAAGACUCAUCCCUCCCUUUUCAUGGCAAAUUCCAGCUGUUUCGAGGAUUUUUCUGAAACCGACUAAUGAGUAGAGAAGGAUAAUGGAAAGACGAGUACACACGCAAGUGCAGGGAGUGAAACGGAUCGAAAGGGAAAGAAAGGAAGGGAUAGAGGAAAGCACUCUCCGCGACUCGUCAGUAAAAGUCUCGCAGGUGUCGAAAGCAGUACCUACACUCCGUCCGUCGCAAAAAUACAUUUUUCGAAAACAAAUAACGCGAUUUUUCAAUCGAUUCGUGUCGAAUAUCGCGUUGUUAGUUUCAUUCUCGAGAGCAUUCAAGUAAACUGCAAUUAGCAAGUUUGUUCUGUUACCCGUAUGUUAUACGUUGUACACGUUAUAUGCAAAACAUGUAUAAAAUGUAUAGGUAAGUUUGAGAAAAAUUGUCACUAAAAUGAAAACCGCAUGCGCUACAUAUUUAUCAAAUAAUCAAAUCGGAGUAUCUAUAUGCUUUAUUACGAUUUUGUCUGUUUUAUAAUACUAAUGUUCGUUAUUUAUUUUUCGUAAUAUAUUGUUAAUAUAUAAAUAAUAUUAAAAUGUGUG